UCUGCUUUCAAAGUCCAGGCUUUGAUUGGCCCAUUUAAAGUUGGGGAACACAUUUGACUGCCAACAGCAAGCGUUGCCAUAUUUUAAUGUCAUUCAAGGGUGUUAGAAUGAGCAGGAGAUUAGAUAGGGGCCCCUAAUUAUUUUGGCUUUAGUUCUGGAUUAACCCUCUGUUCUGUCGACUUCAAUUCACACUCGCCGUUUGAUGAAAUGUGAACUGACAUAAAUUCCGCGGCUCACUUUCAAUCCGAUUAUGCAGUUAAAUCACCGCAGUUCGAACCCAAGCAAGCGACUCUGGCGGGUCCCUAUUCUCCCGGUCGUCCGAAGCCCUGACAGCUCCUCCCCGAAACACAGGGACCCACGCUACCUCCUCACAGGACCCACGCUACACUCUUAACCCCCGCAUGAAUAGGGCCUAUUCAGCGAGCCAUAUAGGGAUGGAAGCUCUGGCUUCUGGUCCUGACAGGGGGCAGCUCAACCAGUGAAGAAUGGUCCAGGCAGCUGGUGUGACUAAGCCAUGCCUUGUAAGGAUGGGGCGGAGUGGCGUAGACUGAAGGCAGGAUGAGGCGGAUGAGGCGGAUGGGGAGGGGGGCACCAUCAGGCUCUCCGCAGAAAACAGUGUCUUUACAUCACACCAACUGUUCACAUUUUCAACGCCGACCCCCUUUUUUCUUCUUCCUGCCAGAGCUUUGUUAACAAAACAGUUUACUAAGCGCUGAAUACAAAAGAAGAUAAUCUGAAGAAUGGCAAAGUCCAAACACCAUCGGACCCCAUUGGCUUUCAUUGUACGGACAAAAAAAGGACAUUUGUCAUGAUACUUCCUUCUUUGGAGAACAAAAUAAUAAGUCAUACUGGUUUUUAACAACACAAGGGUGAGUAAAUGAUGACAGUAUUUUCAUUGUUUGAGGUUAAAAAAGUAGAAUAGCUAUAAAAAAGAGUCACAGUCAGAACAGAAAUAUUGUAUAAUGCCAGCAAUCUUUUCAGCAAUCCUUGACAUAACAGAAAACGAACCAUUCGAAACACUAUCUGCACACUCUGUUUGCCAACUAAGUGUUCUGCUCCACUUCUAAUGAUAUGGCUAGUGAUAUAAUGUGACUUUAACUAGAUCAUCUUUUCCGUAUUCACACAGUAAGAUACCCUGGGGAGCUGACAAUAGAUCCUUUGAGAGAGGAAGGGAGGUCUGCGCUGGCCAAAGGUUAAACAGGGCUUUUGGCUGGUGAUAAAUCACUAUUAAAUGAGGCCUGUAUUGCCGCGCAUUGUCGUUGCUCACUUUCAAACCCAUUACCUUCUGGUUGUAAAGCUGACACAGCUAAUGAACUGACUGCUUUGAACUGGGGCCACAAUAUUGACUGGUUGCUUGGGGCAGAUGUCUCAAGUCAAGCGACUAGUAAAUGUACAUUUGAUUAAGAAAGACUCUUCGGGUCUUUGGGGGUGGAGAUAUUCUGAGGGGGUGAGGCUGCUUGGAUAGCAGGGGGCUAGUCUACACUUAAUGAAAACACUUGAGGAAGUUCAUAUUAAAACAAUUGGGCUGACUGAAUCGAGCUGAUGAAAGAGUGUAAGGCAUGCUGUUUGAUUUUGCGAAAAGACAAAAGGCUGCUAAUGAUUAGCCAAGACGUGGUCAACUCACUUCCUCUACAGAUUCUUUUCUGGUGCUGAUGCUGAUUUUGACUGGUUUGAUUGACAUUUGAGACAAUUCCCUCUGCUUAAAAAAAACAACAACAACAACAACAACAACAACAACAAAAAAACAUGGGCCCCAAAUACAAUUUGGAAAUUUUAACCACACUUAAAAAUGUCUAAAUUGCAUUGCAUUAGAUAACAAAAUGUCAAACAAAUUAAUCACAGGUGUAGUUCAUCAUAACUAUAUGUUGUGACAUAUACACUAAUUUUUGGCAACCAAAUGUCCAAAAUACAGCCUGGUUUCACAAACAGGGUUUAGAUUAAGCCAGGAUUAAGCCUUAGUUCAAUUAGGAUAUUGAAGUGUCUUAGAAAAAACAUUACUAGUGUGCAUCUUGAGACAAAAACAAUGGCACUGACAUAUUUUAAGACAUGUCAGUGCCAGUUACUUUCAGUUCGAACAGCUCAAACAUGCAUUUUAGUCUGAGACUAGGCUUAAGCCUUGUCUGUUGAACCAUCUAUUGUUUUAUCAUUGAAAAUAAGUUUCUUUUUGUUUUUUUUUUGUGAAGUGUUUUGCUUGAAAUCAAUGCUUUUUGUCUUAAACCUAAAUCUAAUGCAAUGACAUUUCUACAUUUUUAUGUGAUUUAAGUGUACAAAUACUUUUAGGGCCACUUUAUGCUACCUUUAGACAUAACAGUAAUGAAUAUAUUGCUAAUUUUCAGUAAUGAAUAUAUUGCUAAUUUUCUCAAUAAAUUCAUUUUACACUUCUAUAGCUAUAACUUCUAUAAAAAGAAUCAUGGUUAACUGUUAUCUUGUGCUGCUGGUGAAGGAUGGGGAGCUGAAGCAGUGUUGAGAUGUGCUGAUUAGCAUAUAAUUGGUCCUUUUGUAUUAAACACAAGGAAUUAGCCUCCUGUUCAGCCUGCUGUUAGCAGCCUGGUUUCCCAUUCAUUUGAAGAGAGAGCGAACACACGGCCUGCUGGGAAGUGCUUGCAUCUGACAAAAAUGGA